GACAGAGGAUGCAAGCGUUAAUCGGAAUUACUGGGCGUAAAGCGUGCGCAGGCGGUUGUGCAAGACAGGUGUGAAAUCCCCGGGCUUAACCUGGGAACUGCGUUUGAAACUGGAAGGCUAGAGUGUGGCAGAGGGGGGUGGAAUUCCACGUGUAGCAGUGAAAUGCGUAGAGAUGUGGAGGAACACCGAUGGCGAAGGCAGCCCCCUGGGCUAACACUGACGCUCAUGCACGAAAGCGUGGGGAGCAAACAGG
rnacentral:rRNA from 1 species